AAAACGGAGAGUUUGAUCCUGGCUCAGGAUGAACGCUGGCGGUAUGCUUAACACAUGCAAGUCGAACGGGCUCUUCGGAGCUAGUGGCGGACGGGUGAGUAACGCGUGAGAAUCUGGCUUCAGG
rnacentral:rRNA from 1 species